rnacentral:lncRNA from 1 species
UUUUUUUUUUUUUUUUUUUAAAUUUUGCUUUCUCACCUGGUCUGCUUCCCCCACUGAAGGAACUCACCUGGCACCUGUAGGCAUUUGAGCAGGCAUCUUCUGCCCUGAAGCCCUGCUUUUUGGUAAAGUGAUGGGGGCCCAUCUGGCUCACUAGUUUCAUGCUGUUCUGGCUUAGUCAUGUUCCCAGGCUAGGGGUCUAGUUGGAGCUACAGCUACCCGGGGAUCUGAGCUGCGUCUGCGAUCCACCCCACAGCUCACAGCAACGCCGGAUCCUUAACCCCCUGGGUUAGGCCAGGGAUCGAACCUGCAUCCUCCUGGUUCCUAGUUGGAUUUGUUUCCGCUGUGCCACGAUGGGAACUCCUCCCCAGCUCUUAAUGGUCAGUAAAACUCUUGCCUGUGAAAACUUGCCUGAACAUUUUGCAGAAAGGAAACCAGAGCGAGUGCUUCCCUCAGCCUGGCCUGGGAACUGGCACCGCAUCUCUGUGGAUGGAGGUAUGAGGAAGCCACUGUGGGGGAGGGUGGCAGGUGUGGUGCUGUCUCUCAGCCUGGCACCCUUGACAUUUGGGGCCAGGUUCUUCCUGUCGUGGGGGUGCCCUGUGCACUGUAGGCUGGCCAGCAGUGUCCCUGGUCUCUACCCACUCGAUGCCAAUAGCCCCUGCCCUGUGUUGUGACACAGAAAUGUCUCCAGGCAUUGUCAGAUGUCCCCUGGGUGGCAAAGUCCCACAGCCAUUGGUGUGGAGGAAUCUGGAGAAGAAAUUUGGGGCAAGACUUCGGCCUUGUCGCUGCAUUUCCCUAAGUAUUUAGGCUGUCGAAUUGCUCAUGUCAUUGGCUUUAUUCGGGUGGCCUUGGGGAAGCUCAAUGAGACGUUAAGGAGGUUAAACUCCCAUUAGCCGGAGAAGGAAAUUACAGCCGUUUCCAUGCUGUUUGCUUCUUUCCACCCCGGGCUGUGCCUCUCCCCUCUGAUCCGUUCUGGUCAGGACGUGUUGGGCGUGGGGGGUCUGGCUGUGAUGGUUCAGUCCCCGGGUGAAGGGCCCGCCUUUAGAGGUCCGCUUUGAAGCACGACUCCUUCAUCUUCAACUGCCCCGGGAUAGGUGGACAAUUACAAUGUCCGGCAUUCUGCUUAAGUGUCCCCUUGGUUUAAUUGUGGGGUUCAUUUCCUGGAGGAGGUUGCCAAGUUCUGGAAAGUGGGUCUGGAGGCCCGCAGAGGGUGGCAUCCAGUACCCUCAGGUGGUAAUUGAGGUUUUAUGGGGCCUUUGCCUUCCCGCUUUCCCAUCCCAAGGGAGUUGUCUCCUUGGGAACCUUCGUCUGUCUUUACGUGGCUCCCUGAGUAACUACCUGCUUGGGGCUGCCUUCCUUUCUGGAGAGCGUGUGUCAAGUGCCCUCGUUUCCCGGGCACAGAGAACUUGAGCGAGGUCUUUAGAACACUGGGUUCGUUCUCCUGUUCUUCCCACUACCAUUUCUCACUCAUUCAUUUCUUCACUCUGUUAUGAUGAAUUGAGCAUCUACCGUGGGCUGACGCUGUUCUAGACACAGGAAAUACAGCCAUGAACAAGACAGACCCCUGUUCUCAUGAGGCUAAUACUGGGGAUGACCAAAAUGAUUUUUUGGGACAGCGACAAGUGCCGCCAAGGCAUGAACUGGGAAGAACUGGGGUGCAAACCGUGAAGGGGUGUGUCCUGGGAGGGCCCUUUGGAGGAAGUGACAUUUGACCUUUGACCUGAAUGCCAAAGCUGGCGGCACAAGGGCUGGGGGCAGGGAGUCCUAGGUGAAGGGAACAGCAAGUGCCAAGAUCCUGGGAUGCGGGUCAAAGUUUCGCAGCACUUAACUCCAAACUGCAGAGCUGGUUUCAUGAAGAUGUCAUCUGGAGCAUUCUGCAGAAAUGUGUAAAGCGCUCAUACCGUGGCUCGUGGUCAUAAUAAGGACCUGGAAAUUCCAAGGAGGAAGCUUAUUGCAGCUUGGUGAGGAAAUGGAGCAAUACUUGUGCCCCCACACUUGUGGGCCUCUCAUCCAUUUAUGUUUGAAUGCGACUCAGGUUUUAAAAAUUAAGUUUAGGAGUUCCCGUCGUGGCGCAGCGGAAACGAACCCAACUAGGAACCAUGAGGUUGCAGGUUCGAUCCCUGGCCUCGCUCAGUGGGUUAAGGAUCCGGCGUUGCCGUGAGCUGUGGUGUAGGCCAGCAGCUGUAGCUCCAAUUCGACCCCAGCCUGGGAACCUCCAAAUGCUGCGGGGUGGCUCUAAAAAAACUGAAAAAAAAAAAAAAAUUACGUUUAUAUGUACAUUUAUGAGCCUCAUCUGUUUUAGCAGCUUAGCUGCAACGUUCAAGGUCAGAUCAUGUUGGGAUUUCCCACUGCCCUUGAUUCUUCUCCAGGGGCUUUUCCUGACCUGUUAAGAUGAUGAGGUGCUGUCUUGUGUGAUUAAGGUGACUUUCUGUAGGUUGCUAGAAAACUCUUGUUUUAACGCUAGGUGUUGAAUUGACCUGGAAG